AUUGUAUCUGGUUGAAUCCAAUAUUUUUUAAAAAUGUGUAUCUUUUCAGAUGCCCAUUAAAAAUACUUGAAAUACAAUAGAUGAUUUGACUAUUCAUUUUUUAGCGAAUAUUCAAUCUGUAGACAAUGGAUUCACUUUAUAAACUAAUAUUUUAACAGCCAAAAUCUAAUUUCCCCUUACUAAAUAUGAAUACACCUUAAAUGCAUGAGGAAGAUAAAUUCAGCCCAAUGUCUUUAGACAAAUAAAUGCAAAAUUGUGAUGAUAAGAGCUUGCAAAAUAUUAAAGAUUUAAGCCUCAAUUUAGUAUAUUUUCUAAAUGAUUCAAUACUGUUAGAAAAACUACCCAAAUUCUGUAUAUACAGAAGUCACCUUCAAAAUCUACAGGUAUUUUUGUAGAUGUCAUUCAGAAAGCUUUCUUACAGUAUUAUAUCAUUUGCUUAUUAAAUCGAGACCUUCGUCACCUUUAUUAGAGUCUCGUAGUCAUCCAAUGCCAAACAGGAUAUUUGAGACAUCUGAGACUCGACAGUCAUCACGUGGGUUGGCUCUUCAUUGAAAAAAAUUUAAUGUGUGGAAUCUGAAUUUUUGCUCAGUCAACAUGUUAGAAAGGUUCCUGCAUUAACUGGUAAAUGAUCAGUGCCUUGUCUAGUAGGUACCUUGAAGUUUGUAAUGACAGGACCCAUUGAGUAAAUGAUCUUGUCCUCCUGAACUCUGGAUGGUAUGGAGGGGUUUCUAUGUCAUGUUUUGAAGGGAGGAAAGAAAUAGGACCUUCAGAAGAUAUCAUCCAUGAGAAUGUAAGGGUGAGAUGGGAAACCACCUGUCAGUGUUUGUUUGUGGGUUCUACUGAUCAGUUUCAAUCAAAGCCUCUAAUACACUGUGCUAAAGUACUGCCAUUUUGGCCUGCUCUCCCAAUGUAAAUUGUCGCUACAUGAACUGUGUCUGCCAGAUGAAAGCAUAUAGGUAGUGUCAGAAUAAGGAGUGGAAUAUUUGAUUGGAGUCUUGUUUUGGGGAUUCUUAGCUUGUAAAGAAGGAGAACAGCUGUCUCCUGAGCUGGAAUGCUAAAAUAGUCCUCCUUUUCGAAAUUAGUAGUAGUGUUAUUGGAGAUCUUCUCAGCCAUGGUGCUCAUUGGAGGUUUCUCAUUUAAAACCAUUGUUUGUAUUGUUUGUCAGUGUUUAUGAGUUGAUUUUAGGAUCUUUUAUGUUAAAAGUACAUCAAGAGCUUGGAAGUUCUGGAGCAAUGUGUCUUCCAAGUGAGGUCAGACCUUCCCCCUUUGCCCCCCAUUUAAAAAUAUUUAGAAAGUGUGAAUUAUAGCAUAGACAUUUUGCUUAUCUCUAACGGAAACCCAACAUUUGGAGUGCCUUAUUGCAACUACAGAUUUAUCAUAAAUUAUUUGCAUUUUUAAAGUGUUCCAAAACAUGUAAACACCUGUGCCAUUGACCCAAUGACUUUUAGAUGUCCGUAAGAUAGCUACAGCUUUAAAAAUAAUGUGCCAAGUCCUUUUGUUGCGAUGUCUUGUACAGUAGUCAAUGCCAAAUUAACUUAGACGUGUUCAGCAUGCUCUGCUGUCUAAAGAUGUUGUAGUGUAAAGUUAUGUGUUUUUUGUACUAGAAAGAACAGUUGAAUUAAAUGUAUAUUGUACUUUAAUAUAGUUAGAUCUCGUUUUUUAAAAGUAUGUUGUGCUCUAUAUUGUCUUUUUCUUUUUAUUAUACUAACGUGCUUUUUUUAAUUUUCAUUUUUUGAUAAAAAAAACAAAUCUAGUGAACAGCUAGUGCUUUCGUUUUUUUUUCCUUCUUUCAAUUUUGACAGCGGUAUCUAGAGUCUUGUAGACUUAUGAAUUCUUAUGUUCCGUAGAAAUUUAUGAUAAAGUAGAAGAUUAGAUAAAGUGAAUCGUAUUGUAACUUAACAUACAUUGCUUCUUAAUGUAAUAUCACAAAUCAUUUUAUAAAAUGUGAGGGAACGUUGUUUAUUCUAAUUUAUGUAAACCAUCCUUUUAACUUUUGAGAUAUUGAAAUAAAUAUUGCCAUUGGGGUUAAAAAAUAAA